AUGGGUUUCAUAAUGGAAUUCGCUGAGAAUUUGGUUUUGAAAUUGAUGGAAGAUCCAAAGGAAAGGGAUCGUAGAUUCAGGGAACACGUCUAUAAGGUGAAAGACCGAUGCGCAAAGACCAAGGAGAUGUGGAGUUACCCUAUGCGGCCAUAUGGGUUUUGGACAUUCGAACGCCACAAUUCUCAGCUUGCUUGGGAUGCUCAGAUUAGUCAAGUUGCUGGUCGAAGAGACCCUUAUGAUGAUAUCCUUCGUCACUACCCCGCCUCUUCUAAAUAA